rnacentral:lncRNA from 1 species
AAGUAUUUAAUUUAAUUUAGUUUAUUAUGUGUUAAUUAAUUUUAUUUAGUAUAUUAAUUUAAUUUAUUUUGUUUAUUAUGUUUUAAUUUAUUUUAUUUAGUUAAUUUAUAGUAUUAAUUUUAUACUAUUGUUGGAUUCACGAGUAUUUUCCAAAACUUGGAAAAAGAGGAGAAAUUUUGAAAUCAGUUGGUAAUUGUGGUCUUCCUCGAGCGAUGAGAUGGUCCUAAAAG